rnacentral:misc_RNA from 1 species
UCAAAGCAUCAAGCUUGGCUUGUCGUUGGGCCCUUUAUCACCGGGUGAUAGGUCCAAAAGAUAAUGAGCGGUGUCGUAAGGACUCUAUAUGCAACGAGCUUUUAACAGCAUGCAUUAGUGGUCAUAUGGCCCGUUUUACCCUUCUAUUUCUCAA